rnacentral:tRNA from 1 species
UGCAAAAUAAGCUAAGUAUAAGCUGUUGGGUUCAUACCCCAAAAAUGAAUAAUAAUUCUUUUGCAA